UUUGAUCUUUAAUAAUUAUUAGUAAUAAUUUUAUAAAAAAUUAAUUUUUUUAGUAUUUUUGAAUAAAUAUUUUUUAUUAUAGUUUAUAAGUACCGUGAGGGGAUUUUGAAAUAAUUGAAAUAUUUUUGAUUUUAAAAGAAGAAUUAAUUUUUUGUACCUUGUGUAUCAGGGUUUAUUAAUUAUUUUAUAUUAAUAAUAUUUGUCCCGAAUUUGGAAGAGCUAAAAAUUUAUUAAUUUUAAUGUUGAAUAAUUAUUUUUAAUGAGUUUUUUGAAAUUAAACGUUAAUCGUUUCUUUAUAUAUCUGGUUUUUUAAGAAAAAAAUUUAAUUUUAUUAUUCUUUUUUAUUUUACUAUUUCUGUUAAGUAAAAUUUGAAUAAUUUAUAUUUUGAGGGAUAAGCUUCAAUUUAUAUUUUUAUAAACUUUAAAAAUUUUUAGUGGUUUGUAUGAUUAGAAAUUUUUAUCAUAAAAUUUGUUAUAAUUUUCCACAAUUUGUUAUUGAUUUUUUUUUGUUUUAAUUUUUUUAUUAAAAUGAUUUUUUUUAAUUUUUAAUUAAUUUAAUAAUGAUGAAAUUAGUAAAAUUUUAGUUUAUUGUUAAGUUUUAUCUUAAGUUGAAUUUAAGGAACUCGGCAAUUUUAGUUUCUGCCUGUUUAUUAAAAACAUGUCCUUUUGAUUAGUAUUUAAGGUCUGAUCUGCCCUAUGAUAAAUAAUUUAAAUGGCCGCGAUAUUUUGAUCGUGCGAAGGUAGCAUAAUCAUUAGCUCUUUGAUUGAGAGCUGGUAUGAAUGAUUGGACAAGAAACUUUCUGUCUCAAAUUUAUUUUUUGAAUUUUAUUUUUUAGUUAAAAAGCUUAAAUUGUUUUGUAAGACGAGAAGACCCUAUAGAGUUUAAUAUUUUUAUUUACAUUAAGAUUUUAGAAUUUAAAUUUUUUUGUUUUGUAAAGUAUUUGGUUGGGGUGAUAGAAAAACUUAUUGAACUUUUUUUCAUACAAAUAUAAAUUUAUAGGUUAUUGACUUAUAUAAAUAGUUAAAAGACUAAAUUACCUUAGGGAUAACAGCGUAAUUUUUCUAAAGAGUUCAUAUCGAAAGAAAAGAUUGCGACCUCGAUGUUGGAUUAAAGUUUAAAUUUGGUGCAGAAGCUGAAUAAUUUAGUCUGUUCGACUAUUAAAACUUUACAUGAUCUGAGUUUAAACCGGUGUGAGCCAGGUUGGUUUCUAUCUUCAAUUAGUUAAAAUAUUUUAGUACGAAAGGACCAAAUAUUUUUUAGAUUAAUUUUUUAUUUGAAUAAAAUU
rnacentral:rRNA from 1 species